rnacentral:rRNA from 1 species
ACGGGGUGCAGCAGGCGCGAACACUUUACAAUGCGGGAAACCGCGAUAAGGGAACCCCCGAGUGCCAGCAUCAAAUGUUGGCUGUCCAGAUGAUUAAAAAUCAUUUGUUAGCAAGGGCCGGGCAAGACCGGUGCCAGCCGCCGCGGUAACACCGGCGGCCCGAGUGGUAGCCGUUUUUAUUGGGUCUAAAGGGUCCGUAGCCGGCCUGAUAAGUCCUUUGGGAAAUCUGGCAGCUUAACUGUCAGGCUUCUAAGGGAUACUGUCAGGCUUGGGACCGGAAGAGGUAAGGGGUACUCCAGGGGUAGGAGUGAAAUCUUGUAAUCCCUGGGGGACCAUCUGUGGCGAAGGCGCCUUACCAGAACGGGUCCGACGGUGAGGGACGAAAGCUAGGGGAGCAAACCGGAUUAGAUACCCGGGUAGUCCUAGCUGUAAACGAUGCUCGCUAGGUGUCAGACACGGUGCGACCGUGUUUGGUGCCGCAGGGAAGCCGUUAAGCGAGCCACCUGGAAGUACGUCGCAAGGC